UACGGAGGGUGCGAGCGUUGUCCGGAAUCAUUGGGCGUAAAGGGCGCGUAGGUGGCCUGGCAAGCGUGCGGUGAAAGCUCGGGGCUCAACCCCGAGUCGGCCGUGCGAACUGCUGGGCUCGAGCACUGUAGAGGCAGGCGGAAUUCCGGGUGUAGCGGUGGAAUGCGUAGAGAUCCGGAAGAACACCGGUGGCGAAGGCGGUCUGCUGGGCAGUAGCUGACACUGAGGCGCGACAGCGUGGGGAGCAAACAGG
rnacentral:rRNA from 1 species